AAGGCAGCUGAAGAUUGCAGUGCUGUAAGGGAUGUCAAGGACAAAACCUGUACAUCUGUGGAAUGGUGCGGGGCAAGGCGGGAAACGGAAAGCCUCCGCAGAAGCUGAUGCCAGUGGCCUUCCUCUGAAGCGCAGCCAUGUGCAAAGCCGGGAGAGGAGCACGGAGUGUGGCACAGCACCCAAGAGAGGUACAGACACA